UUUGAUGGCGACCGGCGCACGGGUGAGUAACACGUAUCCAACCUGCCGAUGACUCGGGGAUAGCCUUUCGAAAGAAAGAUUAGUACCCGAUGGCAUAGUUCUUCCGCAUGGUAGAACUAUUAAAGAAUUUCGGUCAUCGAUGGGGAUGCGUUCCAUUAGGUUGUUGGCGGGGUAACGGCCCACCAAGCCUUCGAUGGAUAGGGGUUCUGAGAGGAAGGUCCCCCACAUUGGAACUGAGACACGGUCCAA
rnacentral:rRNA from 1 species